AAACCCUGACGCAGCAACGCCGCGUGGGUGAAGAAGGCCUUCGGGUCGUAAAGCCCUUUCGGACGGGACGAACGCUCCGCGGGGACAAGCCGCGGAGUCUGACGGUACCGUAGGAAGAAGCACCGGCUAACUCCGUGCCAGCAGCCGCGGUAAUACGGAGGGUGCGAGCGUUGUUCGGAAUUACUGGGCGUAAAGCGCGUGUAGGCGGCUUUGCAAGCCAGACGUGAAAGCCCUCGGCUUAACCGGGGAAGUGCGUCUGGAACUGCUUGGCUUGAGUACGGGAGAGGGAGGCGGAAUUCCCAGUGUAGAGGUGAAAUUCGUAGAUAUUGGGAGGAACACCGGUGGCGAAAGCGGCCUCCUGGACCGAUACUGACGCUGAGACGCGAAAGCGUGGGGAGCAAACAGGAUUAGAUACCCUGGUAGUCCACGCGGUAAACGAUGGGCACUAGGUGUGGGGGGUAUCCACUCCUCCCGUGCCGAAGCUAACGCAUUAAGUGCCCCGCCUGGGGAGUACGGCCGCAAGGUUA
rnacentral:rRNA from 1 species